rnacentral:lncRNA from 1 species
CCUAAGUGUGUAUAUAUAUAGCUUUCAUGAAACAACGCAAUCAUACAAGUGGAUCAUCAAAAUAUACAAUGAAACAUAGUCAAACAUUUGUACCAUAAGAAAGUCAUCCUACAUGUCUGAAUCUACUCUACCCCUGUGCAAAAAGUUAAACCUACACGUUUAAUCCUUUGAUCUCUCAGAUUUUGUCGACAUUUCCAGCACUGGCUUCUUAUUCUCCAAGCUUAAAACUCGAGACAAGAACAAAUUUGAUUCUUUAACCAGUCAUGAUCAUAUGCAAAUUUAUCUUCUCCAAUAAGUGAAUGAACUUUCUGACAUUCAUAUCUUCUCCAAUAAGUGAAUAAGGGGCCCAUGUAGUGCAAUCCAACUGCUACUCAUUGUGACUGAUAAAUUUAUCAGCAUAACUAAAUCACCAUUUCCCUCGUCAUUGAAAAAUCAGGUCAACACUUCAAAGUUUUACUAAAAAAAUAAGCAAUUGAUGUGAAUGUUUAGGGUUUAGGGUAUGUAUUUAGGAAAGGAUGAGUCAAUGUAAAAAGGAUGAUGAAUAUUGUAAAUAUUGCAUUUAAAAGUAAUAUACUUGGUGAAAGUUCUCACGAGGCCUUGUUAUCGUGCAGAACAACUUUGGCAGUCAAAAUAUACAAUUUCUCAAAAAUACAUAGCUCAACGAGAGUUCAUCAUGAGCAAGAGACCAGCAUCCUACAUGUAUUUCUGUAAUAUCUCACCACAUCAUCCAGGGUCUGCAUUUUCCAAUAACAAAAGUAGGAAAAAAAAUCAUGUAAAAGUCAUGCUUCACUCUCAAAUCAGCUGAAACUUUUAAAUCAGAUUAUUUUCAUGAUGAAAUUCAAUACUUUACGAGUGAAUGAUCUAAUAAAAUGCAGCAUAGCAUAACCAGCUAAAUUAUCAUAAUUCAUGAAACAGGAGAACACAAUUACAGUGACCAAGUAAACAUUAUAAACAACUCAAUAUUACCGAAGCAGAAAAUCUAGAGUGAGCACUAGUCACUUUAAGAUCUACACAGAUUAGGAUGAGGUUAAAGACAAAAAUGAGAAGAAAAAAUUAGAACGGAAAUUUUAAGCAACUAAGUUGUCCCACAAACACUUGUAAAGUUGUAACACAAGAAUUGAAGCUUGCUGAAAAUAAGAACAUCAUAAGGAUUCAAUCCAAUGCAUCAGGAUGCAAUUUCACAUCAACCAUAAUGAAAUAAAAUGACAGAAGAAUAAGCAAACCUUCCAUCUGGUAUGUAACAUUUACACAUCCCAUGACUGGUUUUAUUUUUCUCUGUGAUUUUAACUGCUCGCCAUUUUGACGUUAUUUAAGCUGAUUGAUUAUAUUAAUGUUGAACAUUCUGUGGAUAAUGUAAAUCCAAGCUUGGAUAAGUUUUGCUUAUUUGAUUUUGAUCAAAAGAAUUUUAUGCAUCCGCACAUAAAGGCAGAUAAUAUUUGUUCAGCCAAUUUGGUGAUCUGAUGCAUUUUUCAUUAGACUUCCAAUGCAUUGCUUACAUAUGAAAAUUUUGGAAUUUCAUCUUACUUGUCAUAUUGCAAUGUGAUUAUCCAGGAUGCCACGUGUAGCAACACAUCAGUUGCGUUAUUAUUCCAGAGAAACUUACAGAGGGCAUUCCACCGUUCCUGAAAAUUUAUUGUGAACUGUAUUGUCUCACUCGUGUACCCAUAUGUCAAAUUCUCUUUUUAUUUUAGCAAACAGCUACAUGUGAAGUGACCAAUAAUGAUUUGUUUGAAAGGUUUAUAUCUUUGUUUGAAAGAUAAGGUUUGUUGAGUAUAAAUGGGAAAACUAAAGUUAGCUGCAUAAUAAGGUAGCUGCAUAAUAAUCUGAUAGCUUUUUAUCAUGAGCUUAUAUUUUGCUUUUGAUUGAAAAGUUUCCGCCCUUAGACAGAGGUGCUUUUAUUACUAAUAAAUUUGUUGAUGAUUCUAGCUUUUAGCUUUUAAAAAGCUUUCCCACCCUAAUAUUGAUCAUAUUCAAACAUGUAUUUAUCUUUUAGUUAUGUCGAGAGGUACUAUUUAUAGUGAGUUUCUGUCUCAUAAAGAUGCUUACUUUCAAUUUGACCAUUUAAUUUUUCUGUUCUGUAUAUUGAAUGUUCUUCCCUCACUUGAUCUUGUUAUAUUCUAUCAUAAUUGUCAGGGAUAGCCUUUGCAUUGUAUUAUUUGGCCUUUUUCAGUUUUUUUGCGAGUUAACUUUGCAUCUUCUGCUAUUCUCUGAUACAGAUUUCGGGUUGCAUUUGCUUCCCGUGAAGUUAACCACUAAUAAAACUCAUGAGUGACUCCAUGUUGUGGGUUUAUUGCAUUUAGACAUGGUGUAAUUGAGUUCUUCAUCUUAUAAAUUCAAUGUCUUGGAAUUUAGAUAUACUUUUUGUUGCUAACUUGCAUGUAAGAGAAUAAGGUGUCCCUCGUUUUGGCUUGAAUGCUGGCUUCUAUUGUUGGGAGCGGUGGGGCAAUUGUCCAAUAUCUUUCGCAUAAGUUCAAGUUCUUUGACUUGAUGAUAAGUUUUUUUAGUUACUUUCUUUAGAUGAUAUAUAUACAGACUUAUGUUAUGAUAUUUUUAGGGAUUGUAAUUUGUAAUGUUGAGGCAGUAUCAUUUGUUAAUUAAAUUUCCUGAGGUGUUGAAUUUUCUUUAGAGUGACACUGUUUUUGUAUGGUGCUUGCCAUGGCAGAUUUUUUUUGCCAAUCUCCUUAGGCAACUGUGGAAUUUUGACCUUCCACCAUUGAUGACAGUGUUCUGUGGUGGAAUUUACUCAGGAAAAUAAACUAUUAGAAUUAAGUGCAUGUUUUGACUAAAGUUUGCAAACUGAGAUUGAGGAGGCAAAAAGUCUCACUUCUAUAAAGCUGGGUUUUCAGGCAAAAUUUGAAAGUGCAAACGCACUUUUGAGACUAACCAACCAUACAUAUCACGAAACUUAGUUUAGACUUCAAACUAAGUUUGGAGCACCCUAAACAGAAGAUUUUCUCUUCUUUUUUUCUCUUUGUACCUCUCACAAUGCUCCCCUAAAUCUUUAUUAGAUGGAGCUACUCUAGUAAACUUCAUUUUCCUCCCAAUACACAAACUGGUGACCCUGUGAAAUAAUUAUCGGAGUCUAUGUUUAAAAUCUAAUUUUAAAUGUGGUUUUCAGCUUGAAUGGCUUAACCAUAUUCCUCUUUGAAUUGUUCAGAACCAACCCUGUCCGGAGUUUGAAGAGAACAUUUCAACCUACUAGAGCAGACAAGGACUUGGUAUCAAAACCUGAAUUUGAUGUUGACGUUGGUUUGGAUUUUCAGUGCAUGGUCGAUUAAUGCAUAUCCUUCCAUGCAUUGAUUGACUUAUUUAUUGAAAAAAUGACAUGUAGGCAGUCUAGUUUUAAUAUUCAUGGCAUGUUAUACAACUAGGAGCUGACCAUUUUAAACAAAGACACUUAUAAUGAAAUCUAUUUCCAUUUAUUUGACUUUGAUUACACUUGUAAUGACUUAUCACUGUUUAUUGUCACUAAAAAAUUGGUCAACAUUUCAAGUUUAAGCAAUAAAUGAGAAUAUGCUUGCAAGCACGUGUUUAGAAAAGAAUGAGUCAGUGGUAAAUUUCUUGAGAAAUUAAAAUUGAAGGAUGAUGAAUAUAGUAAAUAUUGCAUUUAAAAUCAUAUUUGUAGAAAGCUAUCAAGAGGUCUUGCUCUUGUCCAAACAACUUUGGCGGUCAAUAUAUACAUAUUAAGCACAUUAGGCUUUUGCUCAGAGAUGCAUAC